rnacentral:rRNA from 1 species
UACGUAGGGGGCUAGCGUUGUCCGGAUUUAUUGGGCGUAAAAAGCGUGUAGGCGGCCAGGUAGGUCUGCUGUGAAAACUCGGGGCUUAACCCCGGGCCUGCAGUGGGUACGGGCAGACUAGAGUGCGGUAGGGGAGACUGGAAUUCCUGGUGUAGCGGUGAAAUGCGCAGAUAUCAGGAGGAACACCGGUGGCGAAGGCGGGUCUCUGGGCCGUAACUGACGCUGAGGAGCGAAAGCAUGGGGAGCGAACAGG